AGUCGAACGCGCAGCAUUCUGUAGCAAUACAGGAUGUGGGCGCGUGGCGAACGGGUGCGUAACACGUGGAUAACCUUCCUUCAGGUGGGGAAUAACCCCGCGAAAGCGGGGCUAAUACCGCAUAACAUCGCGAUGGCACAUGCCGUUGCGUUCAAAGGCGCAAGUCGCCAGAAGAGGGAUCCGCGGCCGAUUAGCUUGUUGGCGGGGUAACGGCCCACCAAGGCUUUGAUCGGUAGCCGGACUGAGAGGUUGGCCGGCCACACUGGAACUGAGACACGGUCCAGACUCCUACGGGAGGCAGCAGUGGGGAAUCUUGCACAAUGGACGAAAGUCUGAUGCAGCAACGCCGCGUGGGGGAUGAAGCUUCUCGGAGUGUAAACCCCUUUCGACCCGGACGAAUGCCCGCAAGGGCUUGACGGUACGGGUAUAAGAAGCCCCGGCUAACUACGUGCCAGCAGCCGCGGUAAUACGUAGGGGGCCAGCGUUGCUCGGAAUUACUGGGCGUAAAGGGUCCGUAGGCGGUGCGGCAAGUCGAUAGUGAAAUCCCUGGGCUUAACCCAGGGGCUGCUAACGAAACUGCCGUGCUAGAGUGUGAGAGAGGCGAGUGGAAUUACGGGUGUAGCGGUGAAAUGCGUAGAUAUCCGUAGGAACAUCCGAGGCGAAAGCGGCUCGCUGGAUCACAACUGACGCUGAGGGACGAAAGCUA
rnacentral:rRNA from 1 species